rnacentral:lncRNA from 1 species
AUCGUGAUUCAAUUUUUUUUCUUAUACCAUUUUUUUUCUUAGUUAUUUUAUUUUCCAGUGGCAAUGUGGGGACUGACUGCCAAAGCGGGGCUAGCUUCUGUUAUUCGCAAUAUAAUCAACCAAUGAGCCCGCACCCUAUGUCGGACUCUGUAACAAUCAUCCCAUCAACCAAAUAUUUUGAAACAUAUUUAGAAUUCAAGAAACAGAC